GACGAACGCUGGCGGCGGGCUUAACACAUGCAAGUCGAACGCUGAACCCGCUUCGGUGGGGGAUGAGUGGCGAACGGGUGCGUAACACGUGGGCAACCUGCCCCCGGCUCUGGGAUAACUCCAAUAAAUUGGGGCUAAUACCGGAUGUGACCGCUGGCCGCAUGGUCUGGUGGUGGAAAGGGUUUCCGGCUGGGGAUGGGCCCGCGGCCUAUCAGCUUGUUGGUGGGGUAGUGGCCUACCAAGGCGACGACGGGUAGCCGGCCUGAGAGGGUGACCGGCCACACUGGGACUGAGACACGGCCCAGACUCCUACGGGAGGCAGCAGUGGGGAAUAUUGCGCAAUGGGCGGAAGCCUGACGCAGCGACGCCGCGUGGGGGAUGACGGCCUUCGGGUUGUAAACCUCUUUCAGCAGGGACGAAGCGCAAGUGACGGUACCUGCAGAAGAAGCACCGGCCAACUACGUG
rnacentral:rRNA from 1 species